GACGAAGGGGGCUAGCGUUGUUCGGAUUUACUGGGCGUAAAGCGCGUGUAGGCGGUUGUCCCAGUUGGCUGUGAAAGCCUUGAGCUUAACUCAAGAAAUGCAUUCAGGACUGGAUGACUAGAGGACCGGAGAGGAUAGUGGAAUUCCCAGUGUAGUGGUGAAAUACGUAGAGAUUGGGAAGAACACCAGUGGCGAAGGCGGCUAUCUGGACGGUUUCUGACGCUAAGACGCGAAAGCGUGGGGAGCAAACAGG
rnacentral:rRNA from 1 species